rnacentral:lncRNA from 10 species
GGCAUUCUGGGAAACUCAAACCGUCACCGAGCUUUCUGUGAAGUACUUAGGUUUUCCCAUGUAGAGAGGUAGCCCAGCUCAAUUUGAGGAUAGCGUCUUACUUACUGAAAGGCAGAUCUCAAAGCCAUGUCCCAAAAGGCAGGGAGUCUGACUCUCUCUUCAAAGCAAAUAGAUAUUCUAACACAUGAAGGACAAGAAUAUCACCUUAAUACAACAAGGUUCACAUUCAGGCUCUCAACGGUGAAGCAAUACAAUGAACACCAGUGAGGUGUGAACUCCUCUGCAGACAUGGUUGGUGCUCUGCAACCUCAGUGAACACCCCUAUAGUGCAAAGAAAAAAGGGAAAUCAAACUUCAUCUUUUUUUCCAAGAUUGUCCUCUGCAAAGAACCUUCAUUUCAGAAACCCAGAAGUUUUCAAAACAACUGUGGGAAAGAGAGAUGAAUUUGCAGGCCUUCUGAACUCUACCCACAAACUCUCAAGAGAACCCACCCGCUGCAGCCUGUGGCUCCCAACUGUCCUGCCUACGCCCAACAGGGAACUGGGGAUCCGUAUUCCAGGGAACCCUCUGGAAACGUCACACUCAGUUAGCAGAUUCUUGAGGGCGGUAACUAUAGUUUUCAGAUCUUUGUGUCCUCUGUACCUGGACCAGGUAGAGACUUGAUAAAUAUCUGUAGUUGUUAAAUAAAUGAAAUGUUUAUCUUUGCUGAUCUCUUAAAAAUAAAUCAGUUUUACCUACUUGCCAUGCAA